rnacentral:rRNA from 1 species
CCCUUCAGAGGGGGACAACAGUUGGAAACGACUGCUAAUACCGCAUACGAUCUGACCUCGGCAUCGAGGAUAGAUGAAAGGUGGCCUCUAUUUAUAAGCUAUCACUGAAGGAGGGGAUUGCGUCUGAUUAGCUAGUUGGAGGGGUAACGGCCCACCAAGGCGGUGAUCAGUAGCCGGUCUGAGAGGAUGAACGGCCACAUUGGGACUGAGAUACGGCCCAG